GUCGCCAUGAGUUCCCGACGACGCCGGUUUCGCGAUUUUGUUGGAGCAUUUAGGGUACGAAAUUCGGCCGGACGGAGAAGAUGGCGGCGGCGGCUCGGUCUGCUCAAUGGGCAGCAACGUCCGGUUGGCGGCGAUGUAAGGAGGCGGAGGAGGUGCGUAUCUGUGAGGGGAAGAUCGUGGCUGCCUCGGGUUGGUCCAACUGCCGGGGACCAAGGUGAAUCGACUCGGCGAACUGUGGUGUGUGGCACUCGGCUUGCUCUGCUCCGGCGACGACGAGGCUCCGGUAGACGGUUUGCGACGGGAUCGAUGAAAUGGGGCCGUGAUGUUGUGGGAAAGGCCGAUGCGGUGGCGAUUAGGUGCGGCCGACGUCGAACACAGCGAAUCGGCGCACGGGGGCCAGCGGCCGUGCGCUCGGCUCGUGCAGGCCUCUCGGGCGGCGACGGGGCGCUGCUAGCUGCGCGCGGGCGGGCGGCCGAAUCGACCUCAACACCGUCGAGGGGGGAGGAUGAGAAGGAGGCGGAGGCGCCACCGGUGGAGAGGGCGGGGGCCGCGGUGUCCCUGGACCUGUGGCACGCAUUAGCGGGGCCGUCGUGCCGCUGCCGCGGAAGGGCAGUGCCGUCGUGUACCUGCCGCAGGGCCACCUCGAGCACAUCGGCGGCGACGCGGCGUCUGCGGCACCGCCGCACGUCUUCUGCCGUGUCGUCGAGGUCAACCUCCACGCGGACGGCGCGAUGAACGAGGUGUACACGCGGGUGUCAUUUCUGCUCGAGGAUGAAGAGGCGGAGAGGCGGGCGCGGGCGCGGGAGGAUGAGGACGCGGCUCGCGACGGCGAGGGCGGGGGCGCCAUGAAGCCGCUCGCGCGGACGCCCCACAUGUUCGGCAAGACGCUCACGGUCACGGCCUCGGACACCAGCACGCACGGCGGCUUCUCCGUGCCGCGCCGCGCCGCCGAGGACGGCUUCUCGCCGACCAUAUGCUAGCACUGAAGCUCUCCAUUGUCAUGGUGAUUUAGUGUUCGCUUGGAUUACUGACUGUGUUGGGUUUGGCGAUCGCAGGACUAACAGUCUGCAGAUCGAGGCCUCAGGAGCUCGUCUCCAAGGAUCUGCACGGCACUGACUGGAAGUUCCGUCAUAUCUAUCGAGGCUUGGCAAGUGAUGAGACUCUGCUUAAUGGGAUUGCUUCAAAUGUGCUCACUGGGCCUCCAUUUUCAGACUUCAGUAGUGAGUAGUGACUGACCAAACGCCAAUUUGGUUUUAUUUCGAUGAUGAACAUAAUCGAACUACACUAGAUUGCAGGUUACAGUAUUUGCAUUUGCUUCAUUUCAGUCCAUAAGCUUAAGCACAUUUUUGAAUAUAUGUAUCUCAAAGUUAAUCUAAACUGUCAUAAAAUUGACUAAUUUUUAAGAAAUGAUCAUGCAACUUGCAUUGCAAACAGCAAAACGGUUUCUGAACAUAUGAGAUUACGUUGAUCAUCCUAUUCGUUCCAUAGGUCAACUAGAUACAGGUAUAAGAAUUCAGAAGCUAAAUCAAAGUGUUCUAUGCUCUAGCAGUAUUUGACAUCCUAUUCAUGUUUUUCUGUCAUGCAUGUUGGCCUCUUGAUUUGGUCGGAGAAGUGAUGCUGCUCUCUGCUCCCCUGCUCCUGACUCGAUGCACUAGGAGGUUAGAUGAGUCUUUCCAUAAGUUGGAUCAUUUGUCUUCUCUCCCAUUUGAUAUCCUUGCCUUUUGUAAUGCUUUUCUUUUUCCUAAAUGAAUUUUUACUUUUUAUUGCAAAAUAUAGAUGCAAUAAAGUUGUAGCCCACAUAUUCAAGUAAAUGUCCAGGAAGAACUCAAAUAUGUCAUACUAUGAAACAAUAAACCAAUGAUAUACAAUAGGCUCGCAAAUAGUAUAAAUUAGACUCACAAGGUUUACGAGGAUAGAUGAUUGGAUGGUCAUGGGCUCACAUACAGCACCAAACCAUCUCAUUAUCUAUAUAUUUCAUUUCUGAAUUCUAAUUGAACGAGAUGUUCAUUGUUCUCUGCCAGUCCACCAAUUGAAUCUAUCAUGUGUUUACAUGAGUUUUUAGUUAUUUGCUCAU